GACGAACGCUGGCGGUGUGCUUAACACAUGCAAGUCGAACGGUAAGGCCCUUUCGGGGGUACACGAGUGGCGAACGGGUGAGUAACACGUGAGUAACCUGCCCUCAUCUCUGGGAUAACAGUCGGAAACGGUUGCUAAUACUGGAUAUGAGCUUGCAAGGCAUCUUGUGGGUUGGAAAGAUUUUUUGGUUGGGGAUGGACUCGCGGCCUAUCAGCUUGUUGGUGAGGUAGUGGCUCACCAAGGCUUCGAUGGGUAGCCGGCCUGAGAGGGCGACCGGCCACAUUGGGACUGAGAUACGGCCCAGACUCCUACGGGAGGCAGCAGUGGGGAAUAUUGCACAAUGGACGGAAGUCUGAUGCAGCAACGCCGCGUGCGGGGAUGACGGCCCUUUCGG
rnacentral:rRNA from 2 species